GACGAACGCUGGCGGCGUGCCUAAUACAUGCAAGUAGAACGCUGAAGGAGGAGCUUGCUUCUCUGGAUGAGUUGCGAACGGGUGAGUAACGCGUAGGUAACCUGCCUGGUAGCGGGGGAUAACUAUUGGAAACGAUAGCUAAUACCGCAUAAGAGUAGAUGUUGCAUGACAUUUGCUUAAAAGGUGCAAUUGCAUCACUACCAGAUGGACCUGCGUUGUAUUAGCUAGUUGGUGGGGUAACGGCUCACCAAGGCGACGAUACAUAGCCGACCUGAGAGGGUGAUCGGCCACACUGGGACUGAGACACGGCCCAGACUCCUACGGGAGGCAGCAGUAGGGAAUCUUCGGCAAUGGACGGAAGUCUGACCGAGCAACGCCGCGUGAGUGAAGAAGGUUUUCGGAUCGUAAAGCUCUGUUGUAAGAGAAGAACGAGUGUGAGAGUGGAAAGUUCACACUGUGACGGUAUCUUACCAGAAAGGGACGGCUAACUACGUGCCAGCAGCCGCGGUAAUACGUAGGUGGCAAGCGUUAUCCGGAUUUAUUGGGCGUAAAGAGAGUGCGGGCGGUUUUCUAAGUCUGAUGUGAAAGCCUUCGGCUUAACCGGGAGAAGUGCAUCGGAAACUGGAUAACUUGAGUGCAGAAGAGGGGUAGUGGAACUCCAUGUGUAGCGGUGGAAUGCGUAGAUAAAGGAAGAACACCACUGGCGAAGGCGGCUACCUGGUCUGCAACUGACGCUGAGACUCGAAGCAUGGGUAGCGAACGGAUAAGAUAACCUUGUAUUCCAGGGCGAGUUCCACGUGGAUGUGAGCGUAUCGAGCCGCCGCCCUCAGGGGGGGCGGGGGACCAGGAUUUGUUCCCUCG
rnacentral:rRNA from 1 species